rnacentral:rRNA from 1 species
CACGCUGUAAACGGUGGGUACUAGGUGUGGGAUCCUUUCCGUGGGUUCUGUGCCGUAGCUAACGCAUUAAGUACCCCGCCUGGGGAGUACGGCCGCAAGGCUAAAACUCAAAGGAAUUGACGGGGGCCCGCACAAGCGGCGGAGCAUGCGGAUUAAUUCGAUGCAACGCGAAGAACCUUACCUGGGUUUGACAUAUGCCGGAAGCAUUCAGAGAUGGGUGUGCCUUUUUGGUCGGUUUACAGGUGG